AUUGAACGCUAGCGGGAUGCCUUACACAUGCAAGUCGAACGGAGUUGCGAACGGGUGAGUAAUGUAUCGGAACGUGCCCAGUAGCGGGGGAUAACUACGCGAAAGCGUAGCUAAUACCGCAUACCUUUGGGGGGGCCAAUCUCGGAUUGGCUAGUUGGUGGGGUAACGGCUCACCAAGUCGACGAUCCGUAGCUGGUUUGCGAGGACGACCAGCCACACUGGGACUGAGACACGGCCCAGACUCCUACGGGAGGCAGCAGUGGGGAAUUUUGGACAAUGGGGGAAACCCUGAUCCAGCCAUCCCGCGUGUGCGAUGAAGGCCUUCGGGUUGUAAAGCACUUUUGGCAGGAAAGCGGUACCUGCAGAAUAAGCACCGGCUAACUACGUGCCAGCCGCCGCGGUAAUAC
rnacentral:rRNA from 1 species